rnacentral:rRNA from 1 species
UCGCCUCACCGCGUGUACUUGUCCGGCCGGGCCUUUCCUUCUGGAGAACCUCAUGCCCUUCACUGGGUGUGUUGGGGAACCAGGACUUUUACUUUGAAAAAAUUAGAGUGUUCAAAGCAGGCCUUUGCUCGAAUACGUUAGCAUGGAAUAAUAGAAUAGGACGUGCGGUCCUAUUUUGUUGGUUUCUAGGACCGCCGUAAUGAUUAAUAGGGACAGUCGGGGGCAUCAGUAUUCAAUUGUCAGAGGUGAAAUUCUUGGAUUUAUUGAAGACUAACUACUGCGAAAGCAUUUGCCAAGGAUGUUUUCAUUAAUCAGUGAACGAAAGUUAGGGGAUCGAAGACGAUCAGAUACCGUCGUAGUCUUAACCGUAAACUAUGCCGACUAGGGAUCGGGCGAUGUUCUUUUUCUGACUCGCUCGGCACCUUACGAGAAAUCAAAGUUUUUGGGUUCUGGGGGGAGUAUGGUCGCAAGGCUGAAACUUAAAGAAAUUGACGGAAGGGCACCACCAGGCGU